CCUUGGUCGCCACGGGAAGGAUUAUCCAGCGCAGGGCGACCUGCGUCCAGCCCGCUGGAAGCCUAUCUGCAUCCCGACAGGAACGGCGCGCUGAUGCUCGGUGAGUCCCGGCGCUUCCCUGACCGCGCUCAUCAUUUGCUCCCCCCGCCCUGAGCGUCGGCGGCUUUCCAGACGCGCAGUUAUCUGCGCGCUGCCGGAACGCACCGAUUCUGACCUUCGCAUGGUAGACCUGCCGCCGCACAAGGGCCGCCUGCGGUGGAGCACACGCAAGAGCCCUUCUGUGGGUGGCCCUGCCGAGCCUCAGUAGCUCCUGCAGCGGCCAACUACGCCGACCAGCGGCGAGGGUGAAUCACCCAACGCUCCAGGUACACCAUCCGCGCAUUCAUCGGAGCCCCCCGGUACCCCGGGUACAGCCGGCCUGGCAGUCAGCCGGCGCGUUCCACUCUUUCUGGGCGAUGGGUCAAUACUGCAUUAAUGACAACGUUCUCUGACCUCCUGGAGAACUCUCCCAGCGGCCUCAGUCGGGGGCAUACCUUGUGCAGGAAGGUGAACCUGCUGAACGAGGUGCAUCAUGGUCGUUGUGCUGAGGCUCGGACUGGUCGCAGGCUUGAUCUACCUGCUGGUACUCAUCGGGGUGGCGUUGUCCAUCGGCUCGGCAGCCGAUGCGACCAGCGAGAUCCGGGAAGGCCGCUGUCCGAACAACAUCAGGGUCACGCUGCUGCCCGGCCGCUGGCUGGUCUUCCACCUGGAGAAGGUCGGUGAGGUCCAUGUCGUCGGCCCCUUCAAGCACAUACCGAAGAAGGAGGGCUCGUACACGGGCUACUUCCCCCCGUAUCCGUCACACCGCCCGCCAUACGCGCCGGAUAGGGACCCGAAGAUACGCCACGUCGGCUAUCCGCGUGAAUUCCCAAUCGACCAGGCAAUCUGGUGGGAUGGCAAGCCGGGAGAGACGUUCACUGUCGACCUCGGCUGCGAGCCCGGAGCGGCGUUCCCGCUACCCGACGGCUGGGAGCAGGGCGUCCCGGAGCCCGUCGUGUUCAGGAUCGGGUACCGCGCCAGCGUGCUUGGCGACCGUUGGGAGUCUGUUUCGGCCACCGAGGUGCUCGUCCAUGAGGACCUGCGGCUUGAGGUUCUCG
rnacentral:misc_RNA from 1 species